GGACUAUUGUUUCGGAAACAUUUGAUUUUGAAAGUCAAUAAUAAAGGUUCAACUCCUUUAUACUCCU
rnacentral:tRNA from 1 species